GGAUACCUGAGUGCCCUUCCCUGCGGGGACGGCGGAGGACGCAGACACAGGCGGUGGCUGGGAGAGCCGGCAGAUGAAGACUGGAAGAGUCGGCAAGACUCGGCCUGGGCUGCACAGCCAGUUAGUGGCAGAGCUGGGACUGAAGUCCAGGUCUCGCCUUGUCCAUGUUAUUUUCCACCAUCUGAUACAUCAGAACACGGACGGAGGGUCACUAUGUUAUGAUUCUGGCCCAGUUGCCGGGCACGCAUACGUUAUUAACCAUCUACCAUGUGCCAGGUCCAACCCAACGAUGUCUCCAAACGGAGUGUCGGGGUUGAAUAUGGCCUGCAACACUGCCUGAUCAUUUGGAGUCCCCAUGGUGCUCAGCUCCAAACUCCAAAAAGACUGGGAGGAAUUCAUUAGAAGCCAACGCUUGACCACCCGUGGAUGAAGAAGGGGGAUACGUAUGAAGUAAAGGAACUAUUCCUUUGUCCUCUCGACCCCUUCCUCAUAUCCAGAGUUCAUUAGGUCCUGAAUAUACAUCACUGAUGAAUAAGGGAAGAAAAUAUGGUUAAGAGAGACAGUGUAGAGCGGGGCCUGAAGGAAGGCGGUGGGGAGUGAUUUCAUGAUUCCACCUUAAAAGGAAGGACUGCGGAAGGGACUUUGUAAUCAGGUCACAGGCCACGCCCCUCCCAUUUGUCCACCUCAGCCAAAGCCAAAAUAAAGUUCAACCAUGUGCAGCAAUAAACUUGACAUGUUUAUUAAUUAAACUAUCACUUAAAUAAAAAAAAGUGCAUAGAAAAUAAACAUGUUUAAAAACUCCUUUUUUUUUACAACUAUGUACACUUUUUACUUUUACAUUCAGUCUUUCGUAGACAGCUUUCAGCAUUAUUAUUUUUUGAACUAUUAAAAGUAUUUUCCUUCAUCCCUGUCACAGGGAGUUAACACUGAUGGACUUUAGACACAUUUUUUUCCUUUUUUUUUCUCUUUUUCUCUAACCAGAAGCUUGGAAGAACACAAGGAAAAAAAAAACGAAAGAUCUGUUACACAUGAUAAAGUUGUCAAGAAAUGUCUUAUUUCUAGAAAAGAAGCUUGUCAUCUGUUGAGCUUUUGAAACAAUUAUUCAACUACCUGUAUUUACUAAAGAGACUGUUAAAAGUUCAAUAAAAGAAACACCACAAGUCUAUUUUCUUGGUUGAAAGACAGAACUAGAGUACCUCGGAACAAGAUACCAGGAAAGCACAGAACACAAUUUUCCCCUAAAUGCAGGUGGUAACCCCAACAUUCAUAACCAAAAAUAGAGAAACAAGGAGGACAGGUACUGACUGGCAACAUUCACAGGCAGAAAAAAUCCAGGUGACACCAUUUCUGCAUUUCUCUCUGAUCCCAGGAAUGGACUGUCCUGCCAUCCCCUUACGAUGGGUUCCCCCCGCAUUUGGGGGGAUCAGAGGAGCGCCAGACUGACAUUUUCCUGCCACUACUAGCAACUGUAACACAAUCCUUAUCUAUAGUGUUAAGAGAAUUAAAAGCCAUGGACUGAACUAGGCUUUGUUACAUGGUGCAUUACUAUAUUAGUUCCUAUAUAUAUCAUAUUUAUAUUUAUUUGAAAACCAAAACAAAAAAGUUGCAAGUUUUCAGAGUGUGAGACUUGACUGGUAUUCAUGAUUCGGCACAAAACCAUCUGCUAGAUAACCUUGUAUUGCUUUAAAAUGAAGGAAAUGAAACAUAAAAUUACACCCAGCCCUUUGCAAUGACCCGCUUUUCCUUAAAAAAAAAAAAAAAAAAAACCAAAAAAACCACAACUUGAUUUCUAUUUUAAAAAAUCCCAAAUCAAACUUAACAUCUGACAAGGUUUUGACCUUUAGUAUUUUCAGAUAUUUGAUUGAAUGACAGUCCUUUAGAAAGAUACAUUCAUUAAAAGGUUUUUUUUUUUGUUGUUUUUUUGUUGUUGCUUUUUUUUUUUUUUUUUUUUUUUUUUUUUUUUAAAUCAAGGGAGCUGCAUGGUGCUCACGGCAUUGGCCAGGGGUUUGACAGAGGCAAGCGGGGUGGUGGAGUGGAUCCCGGCAAAGGAGUCUGGUUGAAAACUUAUAUGUAGCUGCCAGGGCUUCCCCCUUGAUUCUUGUCAUUGGUCUAAAAACAGGAGGGGCCGGGCUGGAGGUGGCGGAUGGUAAUGGAGGGAGCCAAGGGACCAAGUUCCGGCCAAAGGGUCAGCGCCAUGCAGCUAUUCUGGUUACACAGUUGUCACUGGCCACCAGGAAAUGCAGCCACAACAGGUUCUAGCAGCAAAGCUGUGAGCUGGCUCUGUCACUGAGAACUGACCAGGUUUGCAGCUGUCACUCCUUAGGGAUUUGGGAUGCCCCUUAGGGGAUUCUUGGGAAUGACCCACCACAGUUCCUCAGUCUGCACUUUUGUGCGGAGAUUCCCUUGGUCACUUUCAAAACAAACUCGGAGGUGUUUUGGAGAUAGCUAUGCCAUUUUUUUU